ensembl:snRNA U6 U6 spliceosomal RNA
GUGCUCACUUGACAGCACAUAUACUAACAUUGGAAGAACCACAGAGAAAAUUAGCAUGAACCUUGUGCAAGGAUGACAUGCACAUUUGCAAAACAUUCCAUAUAUUU